CUAAAGCUUUCUCUUUGUUGCAGGUUUAAUCAAGGACUCAAUUCCCAACACUCCCUCUUGAGUCCUUAGAUUAAACCCCCAAUUUCAAUUUAGGGAUUUUAAUCCCAUUGCUCCUUGCUUCGUCUUCUUCUCGAUUUUGAGAAGUUCUUCAUCAUAUCCCUCCUGCUUCGAUUCUUCUUAAUCGAGCUUCUUUCUCUAUCCGUGGUGCAUAGCUUCUCCAACGGCAACUAGAGGUCACAACUCUCACCGAUCACCAGUCACCGUCACGGUGAAAGUCUCCGCCGCCGUCUUCAACCACCACUUUGGUAACACUUCGACUCUUUAGCUUUUCUUUGCCUUGAGCCUUCUCCAUGUCACCUCCAAGUCUUCUCCGUGAGCUCUUCUCACGUCUCUUGCUCGGCUGACAUUGCAACCGGCUGCUCCCUUUCUCUUUAGCUUACGAACCACUCGGAUUCUCAGCCUCAACAAGCAUCUUCAAGCUUCACCAAUACAAUGUCGAAGAAGGAUUGAAUUCAUCACCUUUCACAACACCAUCUCCACACCGUUGUCUUCAUUGCUUCUUCCAGAAGAUCUCCAUGUCUACUUGGAUGCACCUGAAGCCCUCCUUCUCUAAGGCUCUUCUCUUCUUUUGUCUUGAGCUCAGGUCCACUCAAGGUCUCACUCUCUUCUUCUUCUUCUUCUACGGCUUCUUUGCCGUCUCACUUACAACAGCUUCUUGGGCUACAUCAUCUCUUCAUCUUUGCCGUCUUCUUCUUACGGCCAGCUUUCUUCUUUGUUGAUGGCUGUAUCCAUCUUCCUCACAGCUUCUUCUUCUUCUUCUUCUUCCUUGGACAGGCUCCAAGAUCAAGUUUAAUCAAGGACUCAAUUCCCAACAUAUUUUAAGUUACUAAUAUUCACAUACAGAAUAAAAUCAUAUUCAUAGACUUUUAUGACUAAGUACGUAGUGUUGAAAGAUCUUUUAUGUAACCAGUAUUGAAACAUUUAUGAAUUGGAAAAUUUGUUUCUUACAGUGCA